rnacentral:rRNA from 1 species
CUUUCAAGUGAGUGGCGAACGGGUGAGUAACACGUGGACAACCUGCCUCAAGGCUGGGGAUAACAUUUGGAAACAGAUGCUAAUACCGAAUAAAACUUAGUGUCGCAUGACACAAAGUUAAAAGGCGCUUCGGCGUCACCUAGAGAUGGAUCCGCGGUGCAUUAGUUAGUUGGUGGGGUAAAGGCCUACCAAGACAAUGAUGCAUAGCCGAGUUGAGAGACUGAUCGGCCACAUUGGGACUGAGACACGGCCCGAACUCCUACGGGAGGCUGCAGUAGGGAAUCUUCCACAAUGGGCGAAAGCCUGAUGGAGCAACGCCGCGUGUGUGAUGAAGGCUUUCGGGUCGUAAAGCACUGUUGUAUGGGAAGAACAGCUAGAAUAGGAAAUGAUUUUAGUUUGACGGUACCAUACCAGAAAGGGACGGCUAAAUACGUGCCAGCAGCCGCGGUAAUACGUAUGUCCCGAGCGUUAUCCGGAUUUAUUGGGCGUAAAGCGA